AGGUGAAAAAGCGUUCAGAUCGAGAUUACGCAGAAGUAGAUCAGUCAGUCCUGAGAAGACGAAGAAGAGCACAGAGAAAAAUGAGGAUCUUCGACUGAAAUCUGACUUUUUCCACCAGAGGUCCUGGGGGUCCAUCUUUUAGCUUGCACACCCUGUACCCUCCUCCGCCUGGGCGGUGUGGCUGCUGUCAGCAUCUCCAGGGCAGAUCCAUCCAGCUUCAGUAGCCUCCAGUAAGCAAUAGAGGUGGCGACUUGUAACAACAGAAGGAUGGUAGGCCGCAGUAAGCCAGCACCUUCUGACCGGGACACUAAGUCGGCCAUGCCCGGGCCGCCGCUGUCAUACUGCUCCGAGAUGCUGCACAGCCAGGCUGACUCCUUCCUCAUGGCAGCCCGACUCGUCCGCAGAGGAUGGCCCAAUGAAGGGACCAAAACAAACAGGCAGCUUUCACAAUCUGAUGGUUCAGCACGUCAACCCAUUUUCACCAGUUCAGAGGGGCAUAAGACUCUAGUCAGGGUUAGGAUUUGCCGUAAGGACCCCAUGAGAAGUUGGACUCUUGAUAUGAGCAGUGGGGAGACAUCCCUGGAUGGAAAGACAGGCUUUGAAAAAGAUGAUAAAGCCAAAGAGACAUUGGAAGGUGCAGCCUCACCAAACAGACCAGAAGAAAGACAGACAGGUGUAGUCUAUGUUUGGAAGUCUAGUUGUCGCAUCACAUGCAGACAGACCAGAAGAUUUAAGGCCCCGGUGCUACCAGCCAUUGCUGAAGUUGAAGUUUAAAAGAAGACCUGUAAUUGAAUCUACAGGUGUAUGAAGUACAGGGUUAAUGGUGAUUGUAAACUUGAAUUAAAAAGUGCUAAAGUACCUGUGAGUUUAUUUUCGCUUCACAUAAGUAAUUUCAUUUGCCAUCAGUUCAGGAGUUUUACAGAUGAAAACCUUUGUUUUUGUUCUUCAUUCAACUGAAAUUAUCCACAAUCAAGAUGCUCUUAAAACACCAGAGUAAGUCUAAAAUGGACUUUCCACUGUUGACAUUGUCUGUAAAAGUUACACGACUAUACAUCUCGCAAAAUCCGAACACUGAAGACAAAAUCGACCAGAAAAGGAUUUUUCUUUAAAAUAAACUAUAAUAAUAUACAAGUACAUCAGCUCCCUGACUGGCAACUCCCGAUAUACCAGCAGACUAGUGAAACAGAAGGUUAGCUAAUAAUCUCUGGUGAUUUAAGCUACAUUAGCUAAUGUUUUGAACGCCAUUUAGAGAACAAAGAUAAUUCCAGAAAAUAAACUAAGAUACGGUGUUAUUAACACUAUUAAUUAGUGUUAAUAACACUAAUUAAUUAAGGGUGCUCUGAUGAAAGGGUCUAAACUCGCCUGUGACUGAGAAACACGCUAUGGUGUGAGCUGAGUUUAACAGCAGCGCCAUCUAGUGGCUUUUAGUGGAAACAGCAACUUCAUUAACAAUACUUCCCAAAAGGAUAGGAUUUGAUUUUAGUAAACUGUGCUUAUUUUACGGUUUCAUUUUAGGUAUUUAAGCAAAGAUGAGAAAAAUAAAGUCGAUAGCACUAGGUGUUGCCCAGCUGUCUCCAAUAAAAAUGUGGUUAUUAUUCUAUCUACAAUUAUUACCUGCAAGACGCUCAUUAUGGCUCAUUUUUUUCAGGUAUAACAAAGAAUGAACACGGGAAAAACAAACAGACAAAAGAUACCAGCUUUGGGGGAAAGGAGUUAUCAACUGAAGUGCAAAAAGCACCACCCUGCCUUUGCCAUCGUUGUUUAGUUGCAGCUCAAGGAAGACGUCAUUUUACCGUAGUGUACUUGCACUCUAGUCUCUUCAUUCAGGCUUCAAAGAGAACGUCAGGUAUUACUUUUCUUACCUGGAGUCCACAAAACGUGGCAGUUUUUCCUUCAACUUCAGCCACAUCUGAGCGAUCAUUGGGACAGGCCUGAUUUUUUUUUUUUUUUUUUGUUAAACGCAUUUAUUUUGUUUGCGCACAGCCACAUUUCAGUUCAAAGCCCCAACACCAAACUACAGAGACAACUGCAGAAACGCAAGGUCACCACUCCCCAGGCAAGACGAUAAUUCAGAUUAUAAUUACUCCCAGAUUGACGAGUGUGCAUCCUUCAUCAUCAUCACAGAAUGCCACCUAAUGCACCAAGCAUCAAUAGUGAUGAAUUUUUAAAAAAAACAAAACACAUGAAGCAUCUACGUGCACAUAAUGGUGCGGACAGAGGUCCAGGUGACAUCCAGGGAACACAGACGCUUGGAUUCGGGAUUCCCUGGAAUUGGCAUGCUGAGGUCAAACUGGGAUCACUCACAAAUGACUGAAAAAUAAAAACCGCAGGGGCUCAAUUGUAGUUCAGUAGGAAACUUCCUUUUCCUUUUUGGACAGUUUCUAUUGAAACAGUUUUAUCUAAUGACUUGGACCAUUAACAGUAACAUUAAGAAUUAAAAAUACAAAGAUCAUUACAAACCAGAAUGUUUAUUACUAAUAAAUGCCAGAGACACUGGCUGAGACGACGACACUGGCCCUCAAGUCCGUCAAGAAAAGAAGAAGAAAAAAAAAAAAAAGAAAAAAAAGA